UACGGAAGGGGCAAGCGUUGUUCGGAAUCAUUGGGCGUAAAGGGCGCGUAGGUGGUUCUGUAUGUCUACCGUGAAAGCGUACGGCUCAACCGUAUUUUGUCGGUAGAAACUGCAGGACUUGAGGCUGGGAGGGGCUGGUGGAAUUCCCUGUGUAGCGGUGAAAUGCGUAGAGAUGGGGGAGAACACUCGUGGCGAAGGCGGCUAGCUAGACCAGUUCUGACACUGAGGCGCGACAGCGUGGGGAGCAAACGGG
rnacentral:rRNA from 1 species